UACGAAGGGGGCAAGCGUUGAUCGGAAUUACUGGGCGUAAAGCGCGCGUAGGCGGCUUGAUAAGUUGGAUGUGAAAUCCCCGGGCUCAACCUGGGAACUGCAUCCAAUACUGUCUGGCUAGAGUGUGGUAGAGGGUAGUGGAAUUUCCAGUGUAGCGGUGAAAUGCGUAGAUAUUGGGAGGAACACCAGUGGCGAAGGCGACUACCUGGACUAACACUGACACUGAGGUGCGAAAGCGAGGGGAGCAAACAGG
rnacentral:rRNA from 1 species